CUGACCGUAACGAUACAACUAGCGUUCCGCCGCUGGCAAACACGCCUUGGCGGGCAGCUUCCCGGAAACGAAAGUUUUUCGGCUCCGGGGGAAGUAUGGUUGCAAAGCUGAAACUUAAAGAAAUUGACGGAAGGGCACCACCAGGAGUGGAGCCUGCGGCUUAAUUUGACUCAACACGGGAAAACUCACCUGGCCCGGACACCGUGAGGAUUGACAGAUUGAGAGCUCUUUCUUGAUUCGGUGGUUGGUGGUGCAUGGCCGUUCUUAGUUGGUGGAGUGAUUUGUCUGGUUUAUUCCGAUAACGAGCGAGACUCUAGCCUACUAAAUAGUUACCGGAUAAUUGCGUCCAGAAGACUUCUUAGAGGGACAAGCGGUGUUCAGCCGCACGAAGCUGAGCAAUAACAGGUCUGUGAUGCCCUUAGAUGUCCAGGGCUGCACGCGCGCUACACUGGAGGAAUCAGCGUGCUGUAACCAUUGCCGAAAGGCAUUGGUAACCCCUUGAAAAUCCUCCGUGAUCGGGAUCGGGAAUUGCAAUUAUUUCCCUUGAACGAGGAAUUCCUAGUAAGUGUGAGUCAUCAGCUCACGUUGAUUACGUCCCUGCCCUUUGUACACACCGCCCGUCGCUGCCCGGGACUGAGCCGUUUCGAGAAAUGCGGGGACUGCUGUUUCGAUACCUUUCGGGGUGGAGAUUCUUUGGUGGAAACCGCCUUUA
rnacentral:rRNA from 1 species